rnacentral:rRNA from 1 species
UACGAAGGGGGCUAGCGUUGCUCGGAAUCACUGGGCGUAAAGGGUGCGUAGGCGGGUCUUUUAAGUCAGGGGUGAAAUCCUGGAGCUCAACUCCAGAACUGCCUUUGAUACUGAAGAUCUUGAGUUCGGGGAGAGGUGAGUGGAACUGCGAGUGUAGAGGUGAAAUUCGUAGAUAUUCGCAAGAACCACCAGUGGCGAAGGCGGCUCACUGGCCCGAUACUGACGCUGAGGCACGAAAGCGUGGGGAGCAAACAGG